rnacentral:lncRNA from 1 species
UAACCUUUCACUUCAAAAUGACUUGGUUAUCUAACAGAAAGGCUAACGUAGUUUAACAAUCAUUUACCCCUAACUAUAUAAAUCUAACCAGAGCUAAUCUCUGCAACUGAUAUUUCUUCCUUCCUGUACAAAACUGCCUCUUGAGCAGCACAUUCUCUGAAGUUAAUACAUUUCUGCUCUGGCUAUGUCUCCUUCUUCUGUACACUAGUUAAUAAGAAAGCCCCGCUCACUCCAAGUGCACUCUCAAAACUUGACUGUGAAGAUUGAUAACGUCACUCACCAUCCCAUUGCAACAGUAAACUCAAUAUUUCUCUCUAACCUCCAAGCCUGUGUCGUAAUCGUUUCUAUUCUGUCCAUUGGCCGCUGUUGAUGGACUUUUCAUCGUGCGUCUCUUAUCUGCAGGAUCACAACAGUGAUUACUUGACCAUAAUCAACUUUGCCCAUUCAAAACAGGAAAUUAUUUCACCACAGUGACUAAGAAACUCAACAAGAAAUUUAAAGACAUGGGACCAAGGUUUAGAAGAAGCACUUGUCUAAAAUUGAAUUUCUGGAGGAAACAGAGAAAGAUUGGUUGCGUACAAUGAAAUUCCAUCACUAACAUCCUUUUCUAAAGAUCAAAACUUUUUCUGUUGGUCAUUGAACAAAAGAAAUACUAAUUCAAGAUCAAGUCUAAAUUCGCCUUGCGAAGAAGGCUGAAAUGGAACCUGUUAGUAGUAGGAUCCCAAUAAAUCCCUACCUCAUCGCGGGCUGCCAAACCCCUCCGCUGCACGAACUCCUUGAUCCAACACCCC